GUUAAAGGAUGGGGUUUAGGAUUUAGGGUUUAGGGUUUAGGGUUUAGAGUUUAGGGUUUAGGGUUUAGAUUUUAGGGUUUAGGGUUUAGGGUUUAGGGUUUAAGGUUUAGAGUUUAGGGUUUACGGUUUAGGGUUUAGGGUUUGGAGUUUAGGGUUUAGGGUUUAGAGUUUAGGGUUUAGGGUUUAGAGUUGAGAAAUGAGGUUUUGGGGAUAAGAAUUCAAAUUUUGAAAAAUAAAAAAAUUAAAAUUUUCAAAGGAUAAACUUAGAAAGGUGCUAUUUUGGUCAUUUUAGUUUUUGAGUGCUAUUUUUGUGAUAUAAACUUAGAAAAGUGCUAUUUUGGAGAUUUGCCCUUAUUAAAUUCAAUAUUUGUGGUAAUAUGAUAUAUAAAAUAUAAAUAUUAAAUUUUGAUAAAUGUUUAAAAUACAUAAUUAGUUAUAAAUAAUUAUUUUAUAAUCUGUUCAUUGAAAUAACAAAUCUAUUCUCUAUAAGGCAAUGAAUGUUGUUGACAAAUGUUUGUUUACAUGUUUGAUCUAAUUUUUUAUUGUUAUUUUAUUAAUUUUAUGUGUGAUAAAUUAAGAGAAAAAAACAAAAAUAGCAUUAAAUUAAGUUUAUGUUCCCAAACUAGCACUCAAGGUCAAAUGUCACAAAAAUAGCACUUAAUGUUUUAUCAAAAGUCACAAACUUAGGGUUUAGAGUUAAAGGGUGGGGUUUAGGAUUUAGGGUUUAGGGUUUAGGGUUUAGGGUUUAGGGUUUACGGUUUAGGGUUUAGAGUUUAGGGUUUAUGGUUUAGGGUUUAGGGUUUAGGGUUUAAGGUUUAGGGUUUAGGGUUUAGGGUUUAGAGUUUAGGGUUUAGGGUUUAGAGUUGAGAAAUGAGGUUUUGGGGAUAAGAUUUUAAAUUUUGAAAAAUAAAAAAAUUAAAAUUUUCAAAGGAUAAACUUACAAAGGUGUUAUUUUGGUCAUUUUAGUUUUUGAGUGUUAUUUUUGUGAUAUAAACUUAGAAAGAUGCUAUUUUGGAGAUUUGCCC
rnacentral:lncRNA from 1 species